rnacentral:lncRNA from 1 species
AAGGAACCCCAAGGAGACUGCACCCUAGGACCGGUGGGAAGUGGGCCUGUGAUGACUUCCAGGAGGACGUGCUUUGGGAAUCUGGUCUUGAAAGAGGAGAAGUUGGCCAGGCUGGAGGACAAGAUGGACAUUUCAGGGGCCAGAUGACUGCCCCUGACCAGGGGUCAUGGUUGCAUAAAGCCUGGAUUUCAAACGAAGGUCUCUGCUAACCUUGGGGCCUUCGAUGUCUCUGGUUGGCAGGAGAGGUGCUGACUAAGCGGCUGUUCAUCAUAGCAAGAGGCUGCCUCUUCGAUCUUCUCCACCAAGGAACUGUGUCUCCUCUGUGUGAGAAGCUCCAGCGAGAGAGAGCUGAGUGCCUUCUCAGUGAGGUGGGAGAUGGGUGGACACAGCAGUGGCUGGGGAGGCCUGGGCUCCUUCUGACUCAGUGGUGAGUUUGGUUGGACACCACAAACAGGGGGUUUAGUUACUGGAGUAACUGGGCUUUCAUGAAAAUGUUGGUUUGAUAACAGUGAUUAUCUGCUGGAAAAGUUUAGGCACCAUUAGAUGGACAACGUUUAAGGGCAAUUCUAGGGCUAAGAGGGUGUGAUUAUUGAGAUGUGGGUGGCUGGGCUGGGACUAGGAUGAGGCAAGAGAGGCACUAAGGCACAAAAUCGAAAGGGGGCUUUGCUCUCAGGGAUGAAGGGAGCACCUCCCUUCAUUUUGCCCCCUGGGCAUCUCUUGCCUCAUCCUAGUCCCAACCCUGGUGGGUGAGCAGAUAUAUCCAUAUUUCUCUCUUAGUUCCUGGAGGACUGCAUGGUCACCUGAGGUCACCUGGAUUAGCCAAGAGAAACAAAGAAUAGGAAGGAGGCGAGUGGGUGGCAUGAUAAGCUCUUGUGUAAACCAAAGAAAGUCCAGUCCACUGGGGAAGGGAGAAUGAAAGUGUGACAAGAGGCCGGAGGCUUUCUUUCCAAAAUGUCUAGGAGGUGAUGGGGGUAGGAGGGGUCUGUUAAGAAAUGAGUAUGUGAAUCCCAGAGCCGGAGGAGUCUGGCCUUGAAUCCUAGAAGUGUGAGCCUGGACAAGUCACUUUGCCUUGAGUAGUGGUUUUCUUAUCCGUGAGACUAGACUCUGCUACCCUCUCCAGAGAGUUAUUGAGAAGGUGAGAUAAAGUAUGUAGAAGGCCUUGGGAGGGUUGGUUCUGAGGAUGUAAAAAGACAGUUAUUUAGAAAAUGCCAAUUUCUCACUUUUUCCAGAUUGUAUUGUGGGGAAAAAAAUGCCAGAAAACCUUAAAUCUACCCACUAAACCCAUAAAUUCUGCCACCAUCCUCCAGUGGAGACAGGGACAGUUGUUCUUACAACUUGGGAAUAUCCUUUCUUGCUUCAUGCCUAACUUGGAUACCCUUGGGCACCUGAGAGAGGGAGCAAGAAAGAAGGAGGAGGUGGCAUAGUUAUCCUAUCAGAGGACCCUGAGGCUGAGUCACAGCUGGGAAAGAGGCAGGGGCAUAGAAGGGAAGGGAGGAGAGCAGCACAGGCUCUGUGCUGGGUGUGUGAGUGCUAGAGAGAUGGUGUUCAAAUCAGUCCAAUUGACACCAGUAUCUGGGGUCUUUCCUCUGCACUUGUUUGUCCCUGUGAGUAGGCAGGGGUGUUGGUAAUGUCUAUGUCAGCCGGCUCUAACCUAUGCAUUACGAUGAAGAUAGUGAUGGAAGCUUGAUCCAUAUCAAAUGCUGGUAAGUGGUAGAGCUGUAACUUAAAUUUGUUCUGUGUGGUCCCAGAUUUGUGAUCUGGCUAUUCUGCUGAUUUGAUUUGGCUGUGUCCCCACCCAAACCUCAUCUUGAAUUGUAGUUCUCAUUAUUCCCACAUGUCAUGGGAUGGAC